AAAUGGGGCAAAGACCUAUGUCCUUUACAAACCACAAAACAAGGAGAAAACAUAAAAGACAUCUAGGCAAUCUUGGACCAGCAAUGCUCUCCUAUGAGCCAUAUUCAAAGCACGAUUUACUGAAAGAGGUUGGCACAGCAGACUUCCUCGAGAUGACACACUUUUGCUUUGCAGACAGCUUUGUCUAAAACUGAAAGUUAGCCAAGCUUUGUACUGCACAUUUGUAAUCCCAGCUCUAAGGAAACUAAGGCAAAAGGAUCAUGUCCUUGAGGCUAGCCUGGGCUACACAGUAAAAUCUUCUCACAAAAAGAAUCUUUCUGGUAAAAAAAAAAUAUAUAUGGCAAUAAAUGUUUGAGACACAUAUUACAUGAAGAACCAUUAUUAAAAUAUGUAAAACACUCUUAAAACUCAACAAUAAGGAAACGACUUUUUGCUGUUCUUGUUGUUUGUUUUGUUUGUUUGGGUGGAUUGGUUUGGUUGUUUUGUUUUCUAGGCAGGUUCUCUCUACAUAACCCCGGCUGUCCUGGAACUUACCAGGUAAAACAGACUGGCUUUGAACUCAUCAAGAUCUACCUGCCUCUGCUUCCCAAGUGUGUCACUACAUCUUGUUUUUUGUUUUUGUUUUUUUGACACAAAGCCUCACUCUGUAGCCCAGGCUAACCUUCAGUGCACAGUUAUUCUCUUGUCCUGGCCCUCCAAGUGCUGGAAUAAAAUGUGAGCCAUCAUAUCCUAUAACUGUUGAGUUUUGUCUGUUAUUGUUUAUUGUAAUGCUAAGGACUGGCAUCCAAGAUUUGGAAUCUGCACGUAGCCUGAGGGACCCUGCCCGAGUUGAUUCUGACUGGUAAAUAAAGAUACCAGCAGCCAAUAGCUGGAGAAAGGAAACUUACGCAGGGCUUAGGUUUCCCAGGCUAGCGACCAUGAAGGAGGGGCAGAGGGAUAAGAAGCUGCCAUGGGAUAGAGAGGAGCAUGCAGGAGACAGAAGGACAGCCACCAUGGACUAAGGGCCAAGAGAAGGUGGCCCAGAGGCUGCCCAAGUCAGUUAAGAGCAGCCCAGAUGGACACAGUAAAUAGUGCUUCAUUCACUACCGUACCUGCUUUCAUGGGGUGGUGGGGGUUGAAAUCCGGGCUUCAAGCAGUCUAGGCGGGCACCCUACCAUCUGAUCUCCAGUCCCAGCCCGGCAAGCUUUUCUGUGUCCAUCAUAAGCACAGAGCAAUUCUCUGGGCUGCUCCAUGUCCGGGCUACAUGAUGUAUCUGUUCCUGUGAAGGCACUGGGAUUGAUAGGGAUAAAGUAUGAAGCUUGGUCAAGGCCCCGGUGUUGAGGAAGUGGCCAGAUGAGAUCACACGGUGUUGAGAGGUCCCACAGACAGGCUGGCUGUGGUGGCUCAAGUUCAGAAUCUCAACAUUUGGAAGCUGGAGAGUAGAGAACCACAGGGACAAGAAUGAAGAAGAAACUGAGGGAAAGGAGGUCCUGUGACAGGUCCAAAUUGGGACCCAUCUCAUGGGGAGGCUCCAAGGCCUGACACUAUUACCGAUGCUGUGGUGUUCUUACAGACAGGAGCCUAGCAUAGCUGCCCUCUAAGGGGCCCAACAAGCUGAGACAGAAACAGAUACUUACACCCAAACAGGGGACAGAAGUCGGGAACCCCUGUGGGUGAAUUAGGAAAAAGCUGGAAGAAGCUGAGGAGAAGGGCAGCCCCAGAGGAAGACCAGCAGUCUCAACUGACCUGGACCCCAGAGGUCUCUCAGAUACUGAGCCACCAACCAGGAAGCAGACACCAGCUGAUAUGAGGCCCCCGACACAUAUACAGCAGAGGACUGCCUGGUCUGGCCUCAAUGAGAGAAGAUGCACCUAACCCUCGAGGGACUUGAGGCCCCAGGGAGUGGGGAGGCCUGGUGGGGUAUGCGGGAUGUGGGAGUGUGAGAACAUCUUCUUGGAGUCAGGGGAGGAGGAAUGGGAUGAGGAACUGUGGGAGGGCAGAACGGGAGGGGGAUAAUGAUGGGACUGUAAAAAAAAAGGAUUAAAGAUAAUAUUUUAAAAAGUGAAAAGAAUUCUUUACAAAAAAAAAGAAGCAAAAUGAGGUGAUUCUGAAAUAUCCAGAAAAUCUCUUUCCUUCUCUCUUUCUUCAUUCUUUCUUUCAAGAAAGACUAUGUUGUCCUGGGUGGUCUAGAACUCAAAAUGCAUGCUGAGCUGUCCUCAAACUCUCAGAGAGACACCUGCUUCUGGUUCUAAGUGCUGGUAUUAAAUGCUGACACCAUUACACUCCUCUCUCUCUCUCUCUCUCUCUCUCUCUCUCUCUCUCUCUCUCUCUUUCUCCCUCUCUCUCUCUCUUUUAUCUGUACCUUGAAGCAGAUUGAGAAAUUGAUUGUCAAGCCAAAUCUCCCUCUUCUUUAUGGGUUUGCUGGCAAAAUGAAAUUAAAAAAAAAAAAAGUCAUGCUUAACUUUUGCGACAAUGAUGCCGUUCUCCACAACUUGCUACAUUGCUGAUGAUUUUAAGUUUUCGAGUGGUCCAUCCCGGCAUCACCUCAUCCCCUCAUCCCCGCAUCCCCUCAUCCCCGCAUCCCCCCAGUCAGCCCAAGCUCUGUCCCUGCUGCCCAGGAGCUGCCCUCAGACUGCUAGCAGGAGUUCAUCUGUGGUAAUCGGUGAGUCACAAGUGGGAGAAAAAUCACUGUUGUUCUGAGAAGUUUCCCUUAAAUUAACAUUAUCAUGUUUUGCAUUUUAUUGUCUAAAAUGAACUCCUAGAGGAUUUUAAGUUUCUGCAAGCAUUUUCUUUCAUAAGUGAGAUGGACACAAACAAAAACUUUCUAGGAACAAGACUUGAUGCAUUAGCCUUCUUUGAGAACUUGAAAACUGUUUACCCUGUCCUCUAUUUAUUCCAUAAAUGAAAACAUGUAGGUCGGCUAGCACAGUUCCUGGUUUAUAAUUCAUCUGGUGGCCAUUUCUCCCUCUUCUAACUAGAUAAUUCUCCCUGGAGGUACAAGUGUCUAAAGUGAGUCCCAAGCUGGGGUAGUGAUUUGCCCUUUCUGCUUUAUAACCUGCCUAGUAGUGUACCAAAUACGUCACCUGGAAUCCGACUGGGUUUCUUCUUUAGAGUCCAUGUUCCGGGGGCAGGAGAGAUGGCUCAGUGGUUAAGAGCACUGGCUGCUGCUCUUCCAGAGAUCCUGAGUUCAAUUCCCAGCAAUCACAUGGUGGCUCACAACCAUCUGUAAUGAGAUCCGAUGCUCUCUUCUGGUGUGUCUGAAGACAGCUACAGUGCACUCACAUACAUAAAAUAAAUAAACAAACAAACAUUUAGAGUCCAUGUUCCAAACUUGUCGGUGAGUGGUAAAUUCUCAAGCGUAAAUGGGAUUGGGGGUUCAGAUUUGUUCAGAAAGUAGAAACCCCAAUGGGGGCAGUGCAAGCGUUCUGAAACGUUUAUCAGGGACAAUGAAAGCUAGUAGGGAAAGCCAUUGUGCAGAUGCGGGGUCAUUAACUGUCUGUAGGUUCACAUGGACAGAUGCCAGGCCUGCACUGGAAGGAGAGAGGGCCAUGGUGUUUUGCUUUGGCACAAGUCACUGAUUUUGUCCUGGCUGCAUUUCAUUAAACCAGGCCAGAACAUUGGCUGAGCAGCCGAGACAAGGACGUCCCUUUUCAGGGACAUUCAGCUUGUGUUCAGGUCCAUUCCUCUGGUUUGUAGUCUUGGGAUGUAGUGAGGAACAUACUGACUGCCCAGACCUUAUAGAGUUACAGACAUGCAUAGACUACUUUCUAGAGCCUUCUAGGUAGAGUCAUGUAGAAAUGCUAUCAUGAAAGAUGUUUGGUUACCAAAAGAAUGAUUUUUAUUUUAUGAAAUCUUGUUUUUUUGUUUUUUUUUUUUUUGUUUUUUUCUAGACAGGGUUUCUCACUGUAACAGCCCUGGCUGUCCUGGAAUUCCCUCUAAACCAGGCUGGCCUUGAACUCAUAGAGAUCCUUCUGUCUGUGCAUUCUGAGUGCUGGGACUAAAGGUGUAUACUAAGAGUGCCUGCUUGAAAACUUUUUAAACAGAUGUAGUUUUACUAGGGGAAAAAAGAGGUUUGGGGAUUGAGUAACUAGGUUUUCUCCCUUUCAAACAGAAGAAUGAAUGAAUGCAUUCUUCAUACAAUGCUAAAUUCCAUCGGACACAAAGGUGCGUGACUAUAGCAUUACCACAUAGUAGACUCCGGCAGGAGGCUUCCUGGAACCCAGAGCUCUGAGGGCGACCUAGGAAAUGUACUGAGAUUCAGUUUCCUUAAAAAAGAAAUAACCCUACAAAUUAAAAAAAAAAAAUUCAGGUCAGUAGUUCCCACUUACAAUCUCAGCAUCUAUGAGGCUAAGGCAGGAGCUCUCCCGUUCCAGGCAGCAAGGGCUUCGUGUGAGACUCUCUUCUCAAAAUUAAAACAAACUCUAACAAGAUGGUUCAGUGGGUAAGGUGCUGCCAAGCCGGAUGAUCAGACAUGAUCACAUGGUGGUGGAAGAGGACUCCUGUGAACUGCCCUCUUAACUCCACAAUUGCCUGGGGUAUGUGUGCACGUGUGUGCGUACGCAAGCACACAUAAUAAAUACACAAAUGUGAUUAAACGGACAAAUAAAAACCACUGCGGGGGGGGGGGGGGUUGGGUUGGGGAUUUAGCUCAGUGGUAGAGCGCUUGCCUAGCAAGCGCAAGGCCCUGGGUUCGGUCCCCACCUCUGGAAAAAAAAAAAACAAAACACCGCAGGGCGGUGCUGGCACACGCCUUUACUCCCAGAACAAGGGAGGCAGAGGCAGGUAGAUCUGAAUUUGAGGCCAGCCUGGUCUACAGAGUAAGGCCCAGGACAGGCAGGGAUACAUAGUGAGAACUUGUCUCUAAAACAAACAAACAAACAAACAAACAAACAAACCCAAAUCCCGUUUCUUCUAAGAGUCCAUUA